UACGUAGGUGGCAAGCGUUGUCCGGAUUUACUGGGCGUAAAGGGCGUGCAGGCGGUUUGUUAAGUCUAGGGUGAAAGCUCCCGGCUCAACUGGGAGAGGUCCUUGGAUACUGGCGAACUUGAGGGAUGCAGAGGAAAGUGGAAUUCCCGGUGUAGUGGUGGAAUGCGCAGAUAUCGGGAAGAACACCCGUGGCUAAGGCGGCUCUCUAGUACGGUACUGACGCUGAGACGCGAAAGCGUGGGGAGCGAACAGG
rnacentral:rRNA from 1 species